UGUAUUCUCGCUGGCACCUCUCUCCCAAUCUCCAUCUUCUUCUCCUCCUUUUCUUCUCCUCCUCCUCCUUUUUCUUUAAACCCUAAACCCCCAAUUCUCUCCCAUGUUUUGACGAUAUGCUCAAAAUGCAAUUCCCGCGUCAUCUCCUCUUCCAGCUAUCGCUGCUGCUCCUCUUCUCAUCGCUCUCCUCGAUGGCCGAUCAAUCCGAGCCGUCCAUCUACGACGUGCUCAAGCACCACGGCCUGCCGAUGGGGCUGCUGCCCAAGGGGAUCAACAACUUCAGCCUCGACGACUCCGGCAAGUUCGAGGUGCACCUGGAUCGCGCUUGCAAUGCCAAGUUCGAGAACGAAUUGCACUACGACAUGAAUAUCUCUGGCACUCUGCAAUUCGGCCAGAUCGACCAGCUCUCCGGAAUUUCCGCGCAGGAUUUGUUCCUUUGGUUCCCUGUCAUCGAAAUUCGCGUUGAUAUUCCAAGCUCCGGCUUGAUUUACUUCGAUGUUGGAGUCGUCUCCAAGCAGUUUUCUCUCUCUUCAUUCGAGACGCCCAGGGACUGCUUGGCCGUUUCCCAACCGGAUCUUCACCUUGGUAGACAGGCUGUUGAGACUUUCUCUAAGAUUCGGUUGAGGAAGCAUCAGAAUAAACUUGGUCGCGAUGAUAAUGUUGCGAGGACAGCAUUGUAGAGCAGGCAGGGAACACGAAAGGAUACACUAAAGCUCAAUCACGUUGGGGAUUUUCAAUACUUGUAUGUACAGGUCUGCAGAGAGUCUGGUGUAGAGAUCAUAUUUCUUCAUUCUCGUUUGCGUGCUUGUGGUUGCAUCUGUAGUGCCGAGUCUUCAAAGUAGUCGUGUUGCCUCCUGUCCUGAUACAAACUGUGCAAAGUCAAGUGGGAGGUGUUGAUGGGUGUUGGAGGAAAAACCAGAGAUAUCUGCAUCAUUGUGGUAGAGGGGAGAUGAACCAAAUUGGGGCAUCAGGUUUCGGGAAUCAGUGAAUGCUAAAGCCUCUCACUUCACGGAGAAGGUAAGAGUAGAUAGCCAUACCGUCUCGUUUGUAGUGCAGAAACCGUUUAUAAUCUAAUUACGAUGAGCUCUGUCUCAUGUCCAAUACUAUGUUACUAUAUCUUAAGCAGAAUAUAGAAUGGUAGGAAGAGUUGGUUUAAUUCCAUUGACUAGGAAACAAAGGCAAAGAAAAGUAGGAGUACUAACUGUUUUGUGGAAAUCUGCUAAUAAUUGUCAUUCCAUUUAGUGAUUGCACUGCUAAAUAAGUGAAUGAUAUUGUUCUUUCUAAGCACUGGCUCAUAUGUGGAUAGAAAAGAUAGGUUGGUUGGUAGUUGUGGAAAUGUGAUAAUGUAAGGCAUCAAUACUACCUGGAUAUAGAUUCUGUCAUGAUUUGUUGAUUGAAUAUCAAAUUAUUUGAUGAUGUUAGGGGUGACUUUGUUGCUUGUAAGUUGCUUCUUCUUACAAAUAAUUGAGCAUAUUUAUUGCAUCUUGGGUAACAUUA